UACGAAGGGGGCUAGCGUUGUUCGGAAUUACUGGGCGUAAAGCGCACGUAGGCGGGUUUGUAAGUUGGGGGUGAAAUCCCAGGGCUCAACCCUGGAAUUGCCUUCAAGACUGCAAGCCUGGAGGUCAGGAGAGGCGAGCGGAAUUCCGAGUGUAGAGGUGAAAUUCGUAGAUAUUCGGAGGAACACCAGUGGCGAAGGCGGCUCGCUGGACUGAUACUGACGCUGAGGUGCGAAAGCGUGGGGAGCAAACAGG
rnacentral:rRNA from 1 species